AUACAGGGUAAGGGGUAGGACUAAGGCUGGGCGAUAAAAUGAUAACGAUAUACACUCACCGGCCACUUUAUUAGGUACACCUGUCCAAUUGCUCGUUAACACUUAAUUUCUAAUCAGCCAAUCACAUGGCGACAACUUAGUGCAUUUAGGCAUGUAGACAUGGUCAAGACAAUCUCCUGCAGUUCAAACCGAGCAUCAGUAUGGGGAAGAAAGGUGAUUUGAGUGACUUUGAACGUGGCAUGGUUGUUGGUGCCAGAAGGGCUGGUCUGAGUAUUUCAGAAACUGCUGAUCUACUGGGAUUUUCACGCACAACCAUCUCUAGGGUUUACAGAGAAUGGUCCGAAAAAGAAAAAAUAUCCAGUGAGCGGCAGUUCUGUGGGCGGAAAUGCCUUGUUGAUGCCAGAGGUCAGAGGAGAAUGGCCAGACUGGUUCGAGCUGAUAGAAAGGCAACAGUGACUCAAAUAACCACCCGUUACAACCAAGGUAGGCAGAAGAGCAUCUCUGAACACACAGUACGUCAAACUUUGAGGCAGAUGGGCUACAGCAGCAGAAGACCACGCCGGGUGCCACUCCUUUCAGCUAAGAACAGGAAACUGAGGCUACAAUUUGCACAAGCUCAUCGAAAUUGGACAAUAGAAGAUUGGAAAAACGUUGCCUGGUCUGAUGAGUCUUGAUUUCUGCUGCGACAUUCGGAUGGUAGGGUCAGAAUUUGGCGUCAACAACAUGAAAGCAUGGAUCCAUCCUGCCUUGUAUCAAAGGUUCAGGCUGGUGGUGGUGGUGUCAUGGUGUGGGGAAUAUUUUCUUGGCACUCUUUGGGCCCCUUGGUACCAAUUGAGCAUCGUUGCAACGCCACAGCCUACCUGAGUAUUGUUGCUGACCAUGUCCAUCCCUUUAUGACCACAAUGUACCCAACUUCUGAUGGCUACUUUCAGCAGGAUAAUGCGCCAUGUCAUAAAGCUGGAAUCAUCUCAGACUGGUUUCUUGAACAUGAUAAUGAGUUCACUGUACUCAAAUGGCCUCCACAGUCACCAGAUCUCAAUCCAAUAGAGCAUCUUUGGGAUGUGGUGGAACGGGAGAUUCACAUCAUGGAUGUGCAGCCGACAAAUCUGCGGCAACUGUGUGAUGCCAUCAUGUCAAUAUGGACCAAGCUCUCUGAGGAAUGCUUCCAGCACCUUGUUGAAUCUAUGCCACGAAGAAUUUAGGCAGUUCUGAAGGCAAAAGGGGGUCCAACCCGUUACUAGCAUGGUGUACCUAAUAAAGUGGCCGGUGAGUGUAUAUCGAAAAUUAACUUCCCUUGAUAUAGAUAUAAAACUUGGUCAAUAUGCUUUUCAAUAAUCGGCAUUCUGCCAUGUUUAGGUAGACUAUACCAAUAGCCAAUAAAAGGAGAGUUGCUCCGGGUCCGCUUUGCGCUGAACCAACCGUGCUGAAUUAGAACCAAGUACUAAACAGCAGAAGCAGGCUGCAGCUACACGCAACCAUAGCACUUUAACAUGUGAAGCCGACAGCACUGUCAGUGAGAAAAAGAGAAAACCCAGCCCUAGGUUGGACUGAGCGAUUAUAUGAUCGUGAUAAAUUUCAGUUCCAUCACGGUGAUCAGCUGUGAGCAUAUUUACUCGAUCAAACAUAGCAGAAGGGUGCGUCAUUACAGCCUAUCAAAGUCGAGGUUUUCCUGCUCACUUCUGUAAAUUGUCAGAGAAGUAAACAGGAGAAGUAAACAGAAUGACCGAAAAUGGAGCUAAACGUGGUGCUGAGGGCAGCAAAAUAGAUGUCAGCCGUGACUUUGAGUUAUUCUCCAAAGAUGUUAUUGUUGAGAAAUUAUUCAACGUCGGUUGUGUGGCAGUGGUUCUGGUAUCUCCAGAGUGACGCCGAGCAUUUAAGCUGAUGUGCAAGGUAUGUCGCAAUCGGCGCCCACCAAAACCAGCAACACAACAGGUCUGUUCAAUCAUAUGAAGAAGUACUUUCCCGAGAGUUAAUGCUGAAAGCAUGAAAAUGCGAGUGGAGUACACACAGCCUGUCACUGUUGAUGGCACAAGCUGCAUUAGCAGUUUAGCCACAACUAGCGGUGCAGCCACCAGACGAAAGCAGCAAUCAAUCAUAUCAUCUACAUUUACAUCAUCUAAUGUUUACAUUUUUAGGGGUCUUCAUUAUCUCUUGCAGGGGUCUUGCAGCGACACUCAGGACUGUAAACUAAUUCACUAUAUUAUUUAGUACUUAUCUGCAUUUGUUGUGCUGUUGAGUUAAAAUAUUUUUAAUGAAUAUAUUUUUCUAAGUUUAUCUUAUUCAAUUUGCUUUAUUUACUUUGUAUGUUCAUAAAAUGUUGAACUAAUCUCUAGUUUCUUUUGUUUUUAGUACAGAUGCUUUAAAAUUCAAAUGAUGCACUUGAACCGAGAGGUUGCUGCUGUCUGUUCUCUCUGCAUUAUCUAUAAUUUUUGUAAUUUUUGCUAGAUUUUUUUUCAUUUUUCUGUUGUCAUUUUGUUGGCUGCUGAUGGAUACUACUGUUGGGUGAAGAGUUUACUCAAGAGAAGAGCUCCUUUCAUUGAGGAAAAGCAAAUCUGGACAACAACAUACAAUUCCAGAGGACAGAAGGAGGUGUUAUCUUGGUUGCCGUGCUGGUGCAAAGGUGAAGGCAAAGCUGAAUGCUAGGAGGUGGUAUAAACCCUUUCUAUAAUCAUCAUGGGAAACGUCAACUCUCUGCCCAACAAAAGGGAUGAGCUGGAGAUAUUGGUGAAGACUGAGAAAGCAUACCGUGAGUGCAGUUUCCUGUGUUUUACUGAAACCUGGUUGAAUCAAAACAACUUGGACUCCAGUGUGGAUCGACCUGGGGCCUGUUCUACGAAGCAGGAUUACUGCUUAGCAAGGUAACUUCGAGGGUAACUUCGAGGUUUCCUGUUCUACGACGCGGGUUCACUUCUUAGCGAGGCGAGUCUCCAUGGCAACAUACGCUAAACGGUUAAGUUCCAGAUUGAACUCACAGAGUAUAAAAACCCCGCCCACUGACCAAUGAGCUUUCUCGAAAAAUGGCUUGUCCGUUCUUGGAGGAUCCUAUAGACCUCGGUGCUCGCAUCGUCCGAGAAGCACUCCAGCUCCUUUACCACCUUUAUGAAAGGCUCAUAUGGCCUACAUAUCACACAAAAAAUGUAAACACGAUAGGAAUGAACAAAUAAAUGAAUUCAUCUUGGAAAUAAAUGGGCAUGGGCUGCAUGGGCUGUGUGAUCACAGACAACAUUUCGGUACUAUUUAGUCGCAGCGCACGGCCCUUGUAAUAACCCUUGUAAUGCAGCGGUGACGGUGUUGCUUUUGAGGUUUAUGAUAGAUUUGAAUUCUUCAUACUUUCUCAUGAUCAUCUCCUGCUCCUCGUUUGUAAAGUCCGCGGUCCUUCGCUCUCCGGUCUGCUCUCUGACACUGCAAACUGGUCCAUGUUCGCGAUUGGUCAGGUGUGGCGGGCUCCGCCUUACAUGCGUGCACGCGCUCAUAGCAAAGCCGGAUCAAUUUACGAGGUUGAUAACCAGCGUCGUAAAACCAUUUAGCAAGACCACUGGCUACCGCGCUACAUUGAGCGAGGUACCUCCAAGGCUACCUCGCUAGGUCGAACGUGCUUCGUAGAACAGGCCCCUGGCUUCACUCUCAUAAGGUCAGACAGAAAUGCUCCAGCUCGUGGCAAGAAGAAAGGAGAAGGUCUGGCUUUAUUUGUCAACCAGCGAUGCUGUAACCGUUCACACAUAACUGUCAAGGAGAAGUUGUGUUGUCCAGAUAUUGAACUGUUGUCAGUUGCUCUUCGGCCAUAUUACGUUCCAAGAGAAUUUACUCAUAUCAUAACAAUAUUUGUCUACAUUUCACCCAAAUCAACUGAAGAAAUUUUGUGCAAUGUUUUGCAAAAUAGUGUUGCCAGGCUACAGACUCAACACCUUGAGGCACUGAUAACAAUACGGGAGACUUCAACCAUGUCACACUCUCAUCUCACUUGACUGGAUUCACACAGUUUGUGAACUGUCCUACCACAGAAAACAAAACCCUGGAUCUGCUGUAUGACAAUGUUAAAGAAGCCUACAGGGCCACUGCCUUAACACCACUGGGCAAGUCAGAUCAUAACUUGGUCUAUCUGCAAACCUGUUACAGACCUUGCGUGCUGAGGCAGCCUGUGACCAAAGUCAAAAUAAGAAGAUGGACACCUCAAGCCAGUGAAGCUCUAAGAGACUGUUUUAAAUCAACAGACUGGGAUGUGCUGCUGGAAAAAGAUGUGGAUAGUAUGGACAUUAAUAAACAGGUUGACUGCUUUACUGAUUAUGUCAACUUCUGUAGAGACACAGUUAUACCCACAAAAACUGUUCGCUGUUUCCCCAACAACAAACCCUUGAUCACAAGAGACAUAAAAACAAUCCUUAACCAGAGAAAGAAAGCUUUUAAAGACAAAGACAAAGAACGACUCAGACAAGUGCAACAAGAGUUGAAUAGGAGACUGAAGAUAACAAAGCUGGCGUACAAAAAAAGAUAGAGAAGAAUCUACAACACAGCAACAUCCGUGAAGUGUGGAGAGGAAUCAGUACCAUCCCUGGACACAGCAAUAAAAAGAAAAGACAGCCAGUGGUGGGUGAUCUGGAAAGAGCUGAUGAACUCAACCUGUUCUUCAACAGAUUUGACACUGCUGUCACACCCACUUCCACUGCUACUCCACCUUCCUCUCCGAAACAAAUCUCCACUACAACUUCUCCCGUUCCUCCUCCAUCUCAUUUCAAUGUCUCAACCACUUCAACUGCCUCCCUCUUAGAACACCAGUCCUUGUCUAUCAUCGAAACAGGGGUGAGGAUGGAGCUUGGAAGACUUUGUCCUGGGAAUGCAGCUGGUCCAGAUGGUGUGUGUCCAAGGCUGCUUGGAGACUGUGCGGCAGAACUGUGUCAACCUCUCCACAGGAUCUUCAACCUGAGUCUACAGCUGGGGCGGGUAACUACUCCGUGGAAAACAUCCUGCAUUGUGCCAGUACCAAAAACAAAAUGUCCUGCUGAACUCAAUGACUACCGACCAAUGGCCCUCACUUCACUCAUCAUGAAAACCCUGGAGCGGCUGAUUCUACGCCUUCUAAGUUCUGAGGUCAAAGACAAACUGGAUUCCCUGCAGUUAGCACACUAGGAACACAUUGGAGUGUAUUAUGCUGUCCUCUACAUGCUUCACCGUGCCCUGUCUCAUCUGGAGGAACCUGGGGUUUAUGUGAGGAUCAUGUUCUUCGACUUUUUAAGUGCAUUCAGCACCAUCCAACCCACCAUACUUAAAGAUCCAAACCCCCUCUUCAGCCAGUGAACACCUGUGGAGUGGACAUCGAAGUGGUGACAUCAUAUAAAUACCUAGGUGUACAUCUGGAUAAUAAGUUGGACUGGUCUAAGAAUAUAGACUUCAUCUACAGAAAGGGGCAGAGCCACCUCUUUUGCCUGAGAAGACUCCGAUCAAUAGACAUCUGUAGUAAGAUGCUGCAGAUGUUUUAUCAGUCUGUGGUGUCAAGUGUUCUGUUCUAUGCUGCAGUCUGCUGGGGCCUCAUGUAUCAACGCUGGCGGUGCCAGAAAACCUUGCGUCCGCCAAGAUCGGCGCACACAUCCAGAUUUAUCAUUGCGACACGAGCAUCGGUUCCAGCGCUAAUCAACGCAAAGUGAGGAGGUGGUGUAGAAGUUGGCGUUGAGCCGAUACUUGCGUUGACGCCACUUUGGCGACGCUGUGUGGCGGUGUUUGGUGACUCACUAUGUGACAAGCGUGCACCACAUCCCCGUGGCCGAGCAGCACGUCGCCCCACAUGACAAACCAGCUGUAGACGGAGGGAUCCGAGCUGAUCCCUGCCGGGCCGCCGUCCUCGCGCGGGAGAAUCUCAUCGCCACAGUGUGAAUGGGUAAGAAGUGAAUACACAGUUCAAUGAGCCAAAUUAAUUUAUUUUUCGCCUCCAGACGCUCGAGGACAUUUACGAGCCGGUCCAGCCGCUCGUUGAUCCCCGCGAUCCCCCCGAUGAUUUCUUCCUGCGAUUGCAGGACCGCCUCCGUGAGGACCCUUCCACUGCGUCCGUGUGGUCCAGCGGAAGCGCCGCGGCUGGUGGACGCUCCACCGCUUGUCGGCGCGCUGGUGCUGAUGCUGGUGCUGGGGCUGGGGCCGGGGUGGCCCAAAUGCCGCUGGUCCUGGCCGACGACUCCCAGCCGGCGGACGGGCUGCCGCGGGCCGGGGUUCCGCAAGCCGGCGACACGGCCGACACAUUGAUUUCUGUGACACAAUAAAAAUAUUGGUUCAUUUCAAUUCCUGCUUCUGUGUAUCUGUUGCGUUUACAUCUCUCUCCACGGUAUCAUAGGUAAUGUAAUCCAGUAUUUAGAGGUCAGUUAUGCACAUUACAGUUGUUUAUUGCAUAAAAAGUUAUCGAAAAAUGAAGUUAAAGGCGAAGUAUCAAUCACGUUUAAAACUAGACUGAAUCCCGACGUUGAAAUGAAGUAUAAACUUAGAUUAGACGUCUAAUAUACGUCUUUUGCUCAGUGGGAUGGCAAAGCAUGUGGACAUUUGUGUGACACGCCACUUACCCUAUAAUAAUAAUCGCCACCACCCGCUGCUCAAACGGCGUGAGGGUCUCCUCCCCCGGACCCCCACCUGUCUGGCCGGUACUCCUCCGGAGGGCAGCUGUACGCCGCUUGACCUCCACCUUGAGGUCCGACCACUUUUUUUAAAUCUCCACGGGGGUGCGUUCACCCUCUCGCAAACUUUCUCCCACUCCAAGCAUUUUCGUUUUGCACUGACGCCACUGGACAGGCUGCCAAACAAAACACGCUGUCGCUCCUCCACCUCCGCCACCAGCACCUCCACCUCGCACGCCGUAAAUUUAGUUUUUCUUGUCAUUUUGUCUGCGUGCGAGGACAGGGAGACCCUAUUUAAAUAAAUCUGCAUAUUUAUAGGAGGGCGUAACGGGGGCGGGCCCGGUCACUCCGAUAUCUGCGCUCAAUUCCAAGCUGAUUGGGAUUUAUCAAGGAAACACACGUGGCUUUCGGUGCCCGCACACCUUGAUACAUACAGAUUUUUUUCAGCGUGACGGACCUUGCGUGCGCUCGUUUCUGGUAUGAGUCCCACGCAAGUGUUGAUACAUGAGGCCCCUGGGGAGGCAGCAUCAGACACAAAGAUGCAAGACGUCUUAACAAACUGGUGAAAAGGGCCGGCUCUGUGGUUGGACUCAAGUUGGACUCAGUGGAGGAUGUGGUGGAGAAAUCUACACUGAGAAAUUUGGAGUCUAUUCUAAAGAACAUGGAUCACCCACUUCACAACACCUUGAUGGACCAAAGGGCCAAUGGUGGUGGACGGCUCCUCUCCCUUGGCUGCAGGACAAAAAGAUUCAAAAGAUCUUUUGUAUCAACAGCCAUUAGACUUUAUAACUCUUGUGUAAAUAGUAGAUAACUUUUCUUGGAGACAUAUAUUAUUAUCUUCUGUGAGACAACAGACAAUUGAAUUUCCCUUCUGGGAUUAAUAAAGUUCUUCUUAUUCUUAUUCUUAAAACAGAAAGUUAAAAAAAAAAUUGUGAUAAUAAUUGAGAUCGGACGAUAUGACAAAAUAUAUCGUGAUCGCCCAGGCCUAGUAAGGGGUAAGUCUCUGUCUCAGCUGCCUGGUUUACUGAUCACCAGAUAAACACAGGGUUGUGUCUCGUUUCUGCACUGGCACUAUGUGAACACUGGCCGCUCCGGCUCUUUCAUUUUCCAUGCCUGUCAACUGACGUGUGUCUCUGUCGGCUGUCUCCAUGUUCAAUGCAAUCUCAAGAACUUGUGUGUUCUUGAGAGUGAGAUAAUUUCUGAGAGUAGUCUCCUCUGACAUGACUUAUUUUUUAUCGCACUGACAAACCGAUCACGUAGGGCAGAAUCCAGGUUGGAACCAAACUCACAGUUGGCUGCACACUGCUUCAAUUCUGCUACAUACUGAGCUACUGGUUGGCCCGACUUCUGGUUACAUUGGUUAAAACAGAACCUUUCUGCUACUAAUAUUGGUUUUGGCUUGAAAUGGCUCUUCAGAAUAGCCACUAUAUCAUCAAAUGUCUUGUCUUUCAGCUUAUUGGGCUGCACCAAGUUUCUCAAAAGUCCAUAUUUCUUUGUGCCCAUCACACUUGGCAAUGUGGCUACUUGCUUCUUUUCAGCUAUAUUGUUAGCUUCAAAAAACUGUUCCAGUCAUUCAAUGCACGCUGAACACAGCUCACUUUCUGGCUUAAACCAAUGAAUUCUUCUGAACAGGGCCAUUGUACUCACGAGUACCGACACUAAGUGUCUUACCUUCCCCGUAGGAAAAUGUUAACUUUAUCCUUGUCACCUGUUGUUGUGUAUUAAUUGAAGAGACGUUAACAUUCACAUUCAUGACUUUACUCGGCCAUCUUCAGCAAGAACACGGCGCAAGUGCACGUAAACAUCUUCACGGGGCAUUCGGGAUGUGAAAACACAACAACACAAAACACUUCAAUACAAAAUAACUGUCUUAAUACACCACAGGUAAAAAGUUGACUCCAGUAUUAUUGAAAGUCUUCUUACCUCAGAAUAGGAAUUGGUCGAAGUCAGUAAAUUGAAACAGAAAUCAAAGAUCAAAAUAUGUGCGUUAAGUUUCAUUCUAUUGUUUUUUGCGACUUGGAAGCAUCAAACACACAAAGGCAUUUGGCUUACAUGGAAAAUAGAUAUCUUGUUCAUUUCUCAACUGAUUUUCAUGCGGUUUCCUUUAUUGAUAAUGCCAAAAUGUGUGCUAUCAAUAAAGAACAUAUGAAUAAACCAAUGAAGGGUUUAAAAAACAGAAAUGUGGACCUACUAUGAAAUCAUGUUUAUUUAUGCUCUUAGGGUACAAGCUGGUCUGUAUUAUUCCUCUGGUGUCUCUUAUCUUUCUCUUUAUAUUUGAAUGUUCUUUAUUGAAUUUUAACAUAUUUCACACACAUACACACAAAGUAUGAAAACCCUUAGGAACACCAAUGCUUUUCACACAUAAAUAAAAUUUAAAAAGAAAAGCUAGUUUCUUUAGCUUUGCCUAAUUUCUUCAGCAAAGAGACUAAACACAACUCCCCCACUCUCUUCCAGCAGCCGCUUGUUUGUAGCAAGACCUCAGGCCAGUCCAUUACGAACUACUGCGGGGUGACGCAAAUCAAGGAAGAACAUUUAUGAUGAUUUCUUCAAUGAAAUGCAAUCAGACUGAGACGCUAAGGCAGAAGAACUACCACAUCUGCAGUGCAAAAUGAUGAAUAUGGUGAUUAUUACUUAAAGGAAAUGAUAAAGAAAUGUUUUUCUUUGAGCUGCGUCACCCCGCUGCAGUCUGUAAUGGACUGGUUAAGGUCUCACUACAAACAAACAGCUGCAGGAAGAGAAAAGGUGAGUUGUGUUUAGUCUCUUUGCUAAAGAAAUUAGGCAAAGCUAAAAAGAUGUUUGGUGGCUAGUUCUGUGGCUGGGACCCUACACUCACCGGCCACUUUAUUAGGUACACCUGUCCAACUGCUCGUUAACACUUAAUUUCUAAUCAGCCAAUCACAUGGCGGCAACUUAGUGCAUUUAGGCAUGUAGACAUGGUCAAGACAAUCUCCUGCAGUUCAAACCGAGCAUCAGUAUGGGGAAGAAAGGUGAUUUGAGUGACUUUGAACGUGGCAUGGUUGUUGGUGCCAGAAGGGCUGGUCUGAGUAUUUCAGAAACUGCUGAUCUA